UUAAUACACUUUAUUUCUGGUCCAUCCAACUUGGAGAAACAGACCCAAUUCGAAGCCCAUAAAUAAUUGAUAUAUGAAGCCCAUAUGCUCACAAUCUCCACCUUGGGCUUCAUUCUUCUCAUUUAUUUUAGUUUGGCCCAGUGCUUUAUCACUUUGACCCAGCCCAAAAGAAGUUUUCUUUCUUCCUCGAUGACGAGAAGAUAUCUUCUCAACAAACGCCAUCGAUGCCAUCUCACCGGAAGUUCUGCCGUUCCCGACGAGUUCUCCAAUCACCACUGCACUCUCCGCGAAUCGCUGCCACUGUUUUUUUCUGAGAAAACCCUGAAGCUUCUACUUCAUCUUCUCCUUUGAUUUCUCCAUCAGACCAAGACAAUAUCUGUGACAACUUCUUUCUCAGAUGCUGCCACCAGCCCCUUUGACUAAACCCUUUGAUCUUCCUCGAUAGUGAUAUUGUAGAUGCGAUUAUUUAUCUUCUGUUGAUGGUUCUCUAUUGAACACAAUUCCAUCUUGAUCUAGAAACUUGUCUUGAAAUCAAUGUGACUGCAACGCCGGCAAUGACUUUGAUGUCAAUCUCAGACCAAGUUACUCCACCUUGAGCUCUCCACCUUGAGCUCUGAUUCUUCAAUCGAUUACACCACCAUCAACCCUACUGCUUCUGUUUUCUUGAGCUCAAAAUCCAGAGAGAUUCACAAUCUCUCUCAAGUUUCCAUCUUCUCUCAAGCUAUCACCAUCCAUAGGAAUUCUCUAUUCACUUCAUCGAUGAUCCUGUGAUAUCAAUGCUCAAGAGCCUCCAGCCACUGACUCAUCUCUGUGACAAGUUGCAAACAGAGCUAAUGGAAUGGCUUGUCUUCUCUCUACAGCUUGUCCGGCGAAGGCUUUCGCCACCUCCACUGUCCAAGAUGUUUACUUAUGUAAUCUCCUCCAUUGACCCUCUUGGUCAGACCAUCACCACAUACCCCUGUCGGUAUCCAUUGGCGCGACUGUGCCUAGAAAAAUCCAAGACGUGAACCCAUAAUCAAGCUGUACCUGUUUCUUUAUCCACAGCAGCUCCACUUUAUUUUUACCAUUCUCCACAGCUCCACCUGAACGUGGAAUAAUCUUUUAUUUCCAUUUAAUGUUUCUUCGGUGAUCAGUCGAAGUACUUCUGCUCCCAUGAUGAUUCUGCUACUCAUGACGAAAGAACAACCUUCUCUGUUGCUUCCUGCAACUUCAGAUUUUCAAGAUUGCUCCACCUUGAACAAGAAACAACAGUGCACGACUUCUGAUGCUUCACGGAUACCUUACACCUUGACUGCGAGAUGUCAGCCUCGCCCUUCAUCUCUAGGGACUAAUGGACAGCUUGAUGGUCAGAACAUCACUAUGAGCUAGGCUCAGUCCCGUAUGAAGCAGUGACAAUGGAGGCCAUGAUGGACAUGGUGGUGGAUACGGAGUGCUCAGCUCCACCUCCAUGUCGUGCUCUCAGCUCGUGGCUGCCGUCUCCAUUGCAUUGUUACAGACUUUUCGUCGUCGUCGUCUCUCCAUGGUCAGAGAUUAAAAGCCCGACCAACAAUGGUGAAUUAUAGAUUAUUUUCUCACCUGUCUUUUAUCUUUUGUACAUUUUUGUUUUGGACUCCAAACUAUUUAAUAUGCAGAAACAUCCCCUUGAUUUCAUCUUUUUUUUGUUUAAGUAUUUUUCAUAGUUUGUAAUAGCAUAAUUACCGUCUGUAACAUUUUCAUAGUUUGUAAUAGCAUAAUUAUCCAGAUUUAAAAAAAUAUAUAUU